rnacentral:rRNA from 1 species
UUACCUACUCUUGACAUCCAGAGAACUUUCCAGAGAUGCUUUGGUGCCUUCGGGAACUCUGAGACAGGUGCUGCAUGGCUGUCGUCAGCUCGUGUUGUGAAAUGUUGGGUUAAGUCCCGCAACGAGCGCAACCCUUAUCCUUUGUUGCCAGCGCGUGAUGGCGGGAACUCAAAGGAGACUGCCGGUGAUAAACCGGAGGAAGGUGGGGAUGACGUCAAGUCAUCAUGGCCCUUACGAGUAGGGCUACACACGUGCUACAAUGGCGUAUACAAAGGGAAGCGACCCCGCGAGGGCAAGCGGAACUCAUAAAGUACGUCGUAGUCCGGAUUGGAGUCUGCAACUCGACUCCAUGAAGUCGGAAUCGCUAGUAAUCGUAGAUCAGAAUGCUACGGUGAAUACGUUCCCGGGCCUUGUACACACCGCCCGUCACACCAUGGGAGUGGGUUGCAAAAGAAGUAGGUAGCUUAACCUCCGGGAGGGCGCUUACCACUUUGUGAUUCAUGACUGGGGUGAAGUCGUAACAAGGUAACCGUAGGGGAACCUGCGGUUGGAUCACCUCCUUACCU